GGUGCUCCCGACAUACUGAGUACAUUACGCACACUAUUAUAAACUGAUCUCAACCGCUUGUUCAUGUGUAUUAAUAGCAGCUAGUCGUGACAAUUCGGUCAAAAUUGGUUACUCGAUUUCGAAACCGAAUUCGAACAAAAUUGUUGCUGACUUUGAUUUCAAUUCAGGUUGCCAAAUUCGAAUUCAAUUCGAAAGCGGUCGACCAAAUCCGUAACCAAAUUGGGAUUUUUUUGAAAAACCGAAUGGAGAAAAGACCUUA
rnacentral:lncRNA from 1 species